CCCCUCCAGCGUUCACAGGCGGCGGCGGCGGCGCGCCAUGGCCGCUCGCCUCGCCUCGGUGCGGCGCGGCCAGCGGCAGUGGCAGGAGCAGGGCGCCCGCCUCGGCGCGGCCGCAGGGACUCGGGCAGCCCGUCGUGGGGAAGGAGCAGGAGGAGGAGGAGGAGCGACCACCGCCCUGCGCCAGAUAUUAGAAACUUCAAGAAAAUUGAAACCAAGGAAAAAUGCAGAGACUGACUAAAUCUGUCUGGAGGGAGCAGCUGUAAAAGCUGUCAAGACAAACAUCAAUUCAGCAUAUGAUCUUGCUGUCUCAGAGUGCAGUCUCUGAAAUCAGCCAGUUCUUCUAAAGGUCAGACCAGAGGCCAGAUAACUCUGCCGAAACACUGAAUUAAAGAAGAUUUUUCAGCUUCAGUCACAGGACACAGGAAAGAAAAGAAAUCAAGAUCUUUCCAAACCCAUAGCCACAUUCUGAAAAGUAAUUUAAAACUUAUUUUUAACUGACCAGAUUGAUAUUCUAGUACUAAAACACAAAGUUAUUCAGUGAUGUUAAAAUUAUUCUAGAAGUAGGACAGGAAAACCCAAAACCUCAAAGAAAAAAAAGAGUCUUCAAAAACACCUUUGGGGUUUUGAAAGGAAAUUUUAUUAGCAAAAUAUCGCAUAUUCUCCUAAUGUAGAAACAUUUUAAAAGUGAAUUACUAGUUGCUUUUAAUAGUUUAAUCUGGAAUCCAGCACUUCUGAUAAUGCCACUUGAUUGGCCCACUCUUUCACUUCUAAAACAAGCACCUUCUAAUAUCAGAGCUGUUCUGACGGUCUCUCUUGUAUCCUUGUUAAAAUCUUCUUGCUUAAUUGUUACUAUUCUUCUUCUAGCCCUGGCACAGCAUAACGUAAUAUUUACUGGAAGUUUCUUUAAAAUUCUGUAUUUUAUACUGACUAUAACUCUGACAGUGUGUUAAAGCAAGACACUGCUAUUUUUAGUCUUUGUUUCUGAAGCAAUAGGUUCCAAAUGAACAGUGAGCCUCAAGAGGCAGCAACAGUUUUCUGUAGUAGUGAACACAGUAACGAAAGUCAGUUGAAGUGCUUUUACCUCCCCUGCAAGUUAAAUGUCUUGGAUGUAAGUGUUCUACGAGGAAUUCUGAAAGCAGAACUACUAGCACAACCAUUAUAGAAAUUUAACUGAAAAGACUGAAUUGCUAAGUAACUUUAGCUUUUUUACCUCUCCAAUACAUCAACAAAAUGGACUUCAACAGCAACAACAAAAAGUAUCCAACUGACUCCAAAGGUCACUCACUAUUCUAACACAUCCCAUCUCCUAUUUAUAAACUCAGAUCUACAUAUCCAUCUUGUGUUACCACAGCCAGAUAAUCUAGUCCUUCCUGCAAUAAAUAU